UUCCAUCAAACUUAGAUGGGUUUCUACCCCCCUCUCUCUCUACCUUGCCCAUAUCCGUCGCGUUUGUUUUUUUCCUUGGUGUGAGCACUUGUUUCGGUUUGGUCUUUAUUAAAACUCUGAUGGAGGCUGCAUUCCUCGUAGACGAUGAUGAAUAUGAAGACAGACAAAUGGAUUUGUCUGCCAAGACUUGUCUUCAAAUUCCACUACAAAUAGGAGUGACCGGCGUGUGAGGAGCUUCCCCAACAAUGGAAGGAGCAACCGGAUCUCGAGGAGUGAUCCUAAACACCGAGCGAAUGCCCCUUUAGUACGUUAGUAGGGUACGCUCACGUACAAUGGCAGGAGCAACCGGCUUGUGAGGAGCUUCUCCAACAAUGGAAGGAGCAACCGGAUCUCGAGGAGUGAUUCUAAACACCGAACUGACAAAAACAACUGGAUCUAGAGGAGUUUAGUAAUUAACAGAAGCAACUGGAUCUAGAGGAGUGAUUUUUUAGUAAUUGACAGAAACAAUUGGAUCUUGAGGACUGUGAGGAGCAACCGGAUCAUGAUCAACUUCACCAUCACCUGUCCUAACAAAGUCUCCUACUCCAAAAUAAAAAUAAAAAAUAUUUUUUAAAGCAUGUAAUGUAAUAAGCAAUAAUAAAACUGUUACAAAUGGAUUCUUAAGUGUUUACCUUGUAUUAUUAAAUAUUGUCAUCGAUUUGUCCAACUCUCAAA